rnacentral:rRNA from 1 species
AGGAAAUUAGACGGGGCGCCGCACAAAGGCAGAGGGAGCAUUGUGGAUUGAACACGACGCAAGAACGAAGACCCCUUCCCUGGCCUUAACACUGACAAUGCACGCCGUCGAAAGACGGCCGCCUGCAAGGGUGCGACAGAGGGUGCUCCAUGCCUGCGUCAGCACGUGACGUGAGAUGUUGGGUUCAGUCCCGCAACGAGCGAACCCGCGUGGGUAGUUACCCGUGUCUACCGAGACUGACCGUGACAGACGGAGGAAGGCGCGGAUGACGUAAAGUAAGAAUGACCCUUACGUCCAGGACGACACACACGCUACAAUGGCCACAAAAAUGCGUUGCAAAGCCGAAAGACGAAGCUAAUCGCCUAAACGUGGUCUCAGUGCAGAUCGGGGGCUGCAACUCGCCCACGUGAAGGCGGAGUUGCUAGUAACCGCGUAAGGACGAAUUCU